AUGACCAGAAAAUCCAUGGAGAAUAUUUUUGGAAUAAAUAAAAAAUAUUGGCGAAAGAAUCAACAGAGGGGUACCCACCGGCUGUCCACAAAGGUGGAGGGCACCCCCCAGGGCACGCCCCCUGCCUUGUGGGUCCGCUGGACCUCCACCGACCUCAAAUCCAACUCCAUAUAUUCACGUUCGGAGAGAAAAAAAAUCAGAGAGAAGGAUUCAUCACGUUUUACGAUACGGAGCCGCCGCCACCUCCUGUUCUUCCUCGGGAGGGAAGAUCUGGAGUCCGUUUUGCGCUCCGGAGAGGGGAAAUCAUCAUCAUCAUCAACCAUCCUCCAUCACCAAUUUCAUGAUGCUCAAUGCCGUGCGUGA
rnacentral:rRNA from 1 species